ensembl:lncRNA
UGUACGUCAGUAAAGAAAGUGGUGUAUUAAGAGGUAAGAGACACUCUUCAGACAAAAAAAAAACAACAAAAAAACAAACCUAAUGAAUUUCUGGAUUUUGCUGCAGAAAUAAGAAGCGACCCCGACAGUCAAAGUCUCCGGAAGAACCGUGUCUGGUUCUAAGAUGCUCGAUAAAACUUACCGCUCAUUUCCUUAUAAAACUGCACUCAUUCUACCUGAGAUGACUUUAUUUAUUUAUUUUUUCCAAGCAAAUGGUCAUCACACCAAAUAUAGCCUUGGUUUCAUUUACCUGCUCUUUAUAGUAUUUUUUUAAAUGUAGAAACAUUUAACUUUUCAUUAUAUUUGAAGGCAUCGUUGCUCUACAGCAUCUCUUUGCGUGCGCUUUAAACUUUUGCACAGUACCGUACAUCAGGUCCAUUUUUAUAAUCUGAAACAUUUGAAGAACGAGUUUCUAUGUGGAUCUUCUGAUCGCCCUGCAUUCUUUCAGGAUGAUCACGCAGGGACGACAGAGUGAGGGCAAAACACAAACCCGAAACCUGAAGGUAUUUGUCUUGUGGUUCAGGAAACGGGUUUGACCAGAACAAAGGAGGUUGUGUACUGAACCACACCCUCUGGCUUCAAAAACUACGGAGAGGCAAAAGGUGCUGUUGGGAUACUCUACGGAUUGACAUACUUUAUAUAUGAACUUUGCCUUCUCUGGAUAUUAUCUCUAUAUACUAUUAAUUCCGGUAUCAAUAUACGAUGGGCUGUCGAACUCCACCACCUUCCCAGCAUGCAUCACCAGAACUCUGUCAGAGUCCAUGAUUGUAUUGAGUCUGUUGGAGAGAGAGAGAGAGAGAGAGAGAGAGAGAGAGCGCACAAGGGUGAGAUCACUGUAAUUCAAGGGUACUUUUACAAAUAAACAUCUCCACAUGUAUAGAUUCUCACCAAAAAACAAACAAACAAACAAACAUACAGC